UACGUAUGGGGCAAGCGUUGUUCGGAUUUAUUGGGCGUAAAGGGCACGCAGGCGGGCUGUUAAGUUGGAUGUAUAAUCGUCAGGCUCAACCUGAUCUCUGCAUCCAAAACUGGCAGUCUAGAGUCCUGGAGGGGAAAGCGGAAUUCUCGGUGUAGCGGUGGAAUGCGUAGAUAUCGAGAGGAACACCAAUGGCGAAGGCAGCUUUCUGGACAGUGACUGACGCUCAUGUGCGAAAGUGUGGGGAGCAAACAGG
rnacentral:misc_RNA from 1 species